rnacentral:tRNA from 1 species
AUUUAAAUAGUUUAAUAAAAAAAAAACGUUGAUUUGUGGUGUCAAAAAUAUAUUUAUUAUUUUAAAUU